ACGCGAGCAAUAAUCGAGCUUCCUUGUGCACCUACAUAAAAACUAACCUCCGAAGAGUAAAAUAACCACUGCCUGCUUGCACCAGAAAUGGAUUAUUCGGCUUGGAACUUCGCACACUCGGCAUUGCUUGCAGCCGUUGCUAUCUUCAGUUGCAACUGUGGAGCCCAAUAUGUCAAGACAAAUUCCGAAGAAGAUCUUAACCUUCUUAAGGUACUCAAUACACCCGAACCACUUUUUCUUUUCUCCUGGAAACCUAAAAUACCUACAAACGAAACAUGCGUAGGAUAUGACUGCACAAAACAGACAAGAACCUGCGAACAUAUGCGAAAAAUAGCGAUGAACAGAAUUUAUUAUAACCAUACAGUGUCCAAGCUUGUAUCUGAUAACACUUGAACCCAUUCCAGAGCCAUAUCUAAGCUCUUACUGUAUGGAGCUCAUAUAUAGUCAGCCAAUAACUUAUAACUGCAGCGUUAUGCUUGUAUCUAAAGACAUUUAUGGAAUGUGCAAUCCCUCGGACCCUAACGUACUGGCUACCACAAAGUGCAGCCUGUACAUGCGCGGAAAGCUCCCUUCCCGUGUGUACCCUCCGAGGGACUGCCAAUUUGCGUUCAACAGGUGCAGCAGUUCGAGAAUAAUUUAUAUGCCGUACAGUCCGAGUUGCGCCGUUCAUGUUCCAGAAGAAGAGGGAAGAAAACACUAAGGCCUUGGGAAAGUUCAUAAGCACUUUUUCAUGAACCAGCAAUAAAAUAUUUUAACGUGUUUCACAAAUAC
rnacentral:misc_RNA from 1 species